AACGAACGCUGGCGGCAUGCCUAACACAUGCAAGUCGAACGAGACCUUCGGGUCUAGUGGCGCACGGGUGUGUAACGCGUGGGAACCUGCCCUUAGGUUCGGAAUAACUCCCCGAAAGGGGUGCUAACACCGGAUAAUGUCUUCGGACCAAAGAUUUAUUGCAUUUGGAGGGACCCGCGUUGGAGUAGCUAGUUGGUAGGGUAAAAGCUUACCAAGGCGACGAUCCAUAGCUGGUUAGAGAGGAUGAUCAGCCACACUGAGACGGAGACACGGCCCAGACUCCUGCGCAAGGCGGGAGUGGCGGAGAUAGGAAAGUGGGCUGAAUCCUGAUCGAGCAAUGCCGCGUAAGCGAUGAAGGCCUUAGGGAUGUAAUGCUCUAUUACCCAUGAUGAUAAUGACAGUACCGGGAGAGUAAGCACCGGCUAACUCCGUG
rnacentral:rRNA from 1 species